rnacentral:rRNA from 1 species
CGAAAGCCUGACGGAGCAAUACCGCGUGAGGGAGGAAGGCUCUUGGGUUGUAAACCUCUUUUCUCAGGGAAGAACAAAAUGACGGUACCUGAGGAAUCAGCAUCGGCUAACUCCGUGCCAGCAGCCGCGGUAAUACGGAGGAUGCAAGCGUUAUCCGGAAUGAUUAGGCGUAAAGCGUCCGCAGGUGGCCUUGAAAGUCUGCUGUCAAAGAGUCUGGCUCAACCAGAUAAAGGCAGUGGAAACUACAAAGCUAGAGUACGUUCGGGGCAGAGGGAAUUCCUGGUGUAGCGGUGAAAUGCGUAGAGAUCAGGAAGAACACCGGUGGCGAAAGCGCUCUGCUAGGCCGUAACUGACACUGAGGGACGAAAGCUAGGGGAGCGAAUGGGAUUAGAUACCCCAGUAGUCCUAGCCGUAAACGAUGGAUACUAGGUGUUGCUUGUAUCGACCCGAGCAGUACCGUAGCUAACGCGUUAAGUAUCCCGCCUGGGGAGUACGCAGGCAACUGUGAAACUCAAAGGAAUUGACGGGGGCCCGCACAAGCGGUGGAGUAUGUGGUUUAAUUCGAUGCAACGCGAAGAACCUUACCAGGGCUUGACAUGUCGCGAAUCAUGGGGAAACUCGUGAGUGCCUUCGGGAGCGCGAACACAGGUGGUGCAUGGCCGUCGUCAGCUCGUGUCGUGAGAUGUUGGGUUAAGUCCCGCAACGAGCGCAACCCUCGUUUUUAGUUGCCAUCAUUAAGUUGGGCACUCUAGAGAGACUGCCGGUGACAAACCGGAGGAAGGUGGGGAUGACGUCAAGUCAGCAUGCCCCUUACGUCCUGGGCUACACACGUACUACAAUGCUCCGAACAGAGGGCAGCAAGCAUGCGAAUGCAAGCUAAUCCCGGAAAUCGUAGCUCAGUUCAGAUCGCAGGCUGCAACUCGCCUGCGUGAAGUUGGAAUCGCUAGUAAUUGCAGGUCAGCAUACCGCAGUGAAUUCGUUCCCGGGCCUUGUACACACCGCCCGUCACACCAUGGAAGCUGGUAGUGCCCGAAGUCAUUACCCCAACCUUUCGGGGAGGGGGAUGCCUAAGGCAGGA